GACAAAAUCUUCUUAGGGGGUUGGUAAAACCGGGCUCGGGCACGGGAAAUGGCGGGGUAAAACCGGGCUGCCCCGGACUGGGGCUUCACUUAUUGUCAUGGAAUAAGGACUGAUAUGGAGCUAGUAAGGACAUAGAACAAACUACUGAGGAAGCCAUGAAUCCCCCUUGACUAAUGCUGGGAACAAGGCCGCGGCUCUACUCCCAUCUGUCUCAAGGCUUCUAAGUCCACUUUAACUCUCUCAUUUUAUUUCUGAUUUUAUUUGCUGUCAUUGUUAUCUUAAUUCUCAUUUUCCUUGAUUGUUGAUUUAUUUAUAUUUAUUACUAUUAUUUUUACUGUUGAUCAUUAUUCAUUUCCACUUUUCUUUUUGUUUUCCAGGGGCCAUAGCAGUUCAGUCUUGCUGGGAUGUCUGUACCGUAUUAUCAAACUUACUCAAUUUGGUUUAUUGUAAAUAAAUUAUAUUACAAAACAGAACCAGAAACUAUCAGGAAAUUAGAUUUUACAGGUGAACAAUAUUAUUAUUUUAAAAAUGAUUUUCUUUGCAUCAUAAUAGCAGUAUGGACUAUGAAUGUAGCAGUGAAAUGCUCACAGGAAUGAAUCAUGCAACCUCUCAAAAUAAAUCUCUUUUCAUCACCAAAAUUUCUCUGGGAAUUUGCAUGAUUUCAGAACCACAUUAUCUUGAAAUUGAUAUUAUAGAGAAUAUCC